GAGAAGAACGCAGCGAAAUGCGAUAAGUAGUGUGAAUUGCAGAAUUCAGUGAAUCAUCGAAUCUUUGAACGCACAUUGCGCCCUUUGGUAUUCCUUAGGGCAUGCCUGUUCGAGCGUCAUUUGAAACCUCAAGCUCAGCUUGGUGUUGGGUGUCUGUCCCCGCCUCACCGCGGGGACUCGCCUCAAAAUCAUUGGCGGCCGGUACGUUGGCUUCGAGCGCAGCAGAAACGCGAACUCGAGGCCCGGCGGAUCGGCGACCAGAAGUCACUUCUUCACAGUUUGACCUCGGAUCAGGUAGGGAUACCCGCUGAACUUAAGCAUAUCAAUAAGCGGAGGA
rnacentral:misc_RNA from 1 species